UUAUUAUGUUAAAUAUUUGAGCUUAAAUGAGGCAUUUCGGUGUUUUUGAAGGGCAUUUUAAAAUGAUUUCGGUGUUUUCAUCGGGCAUUUCGGUAAAUCACGGGCAUUUCGGUAAUUCUAGUUACCCCCCUGCAGCAUGGUCAUGGUCACUACUACACUACUUCACUUAUGAUGGCGUUUAAGAGAUAUUCGCAGGCAAGUAAUGUAACAAUUAAGGAUGUAUAGUAAAAUACUCUCGUAACGGAUAUAUAUUAUAUUGGAACGACCAGAAACUGGUGGGGAUCAUUAAGACAAAGACACUCGUGGAUUAGAGAGAAAACCAUGGAAGGACCCUUAAAUUUAUGGGGACCCGAAUACUAUUUACCAAAUUGGACACUGGAAUAUUCUUAAUCAGCUACAGAGAACCAUUUAAACAAGACCUUGAACUUUCAGUAACGUGUAACUAUCUUUUUUAUGGGUCAAAACAAGUUAAAAUGAUGCUGUUUUCAAGUGAAAUAUACACAGAUUGGUAGUCUUAGCUCAAAAGCCAGACAAAUCUUGUUGAUUUCAAAGAGCCAUGGCUGAGAUGCCAGCAAUGAAAUAGACAGGCCUACGUCAAAUUGCUGUUUGACACAACUACCCAAAGUCCAAGCUCCUGUUAAAAUGGUUCUAUUUUUAUCUUACCAAAAUAAGCAGCAGUAUUGCCCUUGAAUGCAAACCUUAAGGAAUGUCUUCAAUGUUAAAGUUAAUGGAAUUCACUGGUCAGUAAAGAAAAUUAUUAUAUAAUUGUGUAAAAAAAAAAUCGGAGGUGGGACAUGUGCUAUUUGAUAUUAUGUCAAUUUGUGCCCUUGCCUACCGAUGGUGCCAGCAUUGAAAAAUCUACGUACAGUUUCCAUAAAACACUUUUAUUUAUGAAAUGAAAUUUGCCAAAAUUUGCCACCCCCCCCCCCCCCAGAUGAUUUGCUAUUUAGCAGUAAAUCACAAAUAAAAAGAAAAGCCAAGUUUGGAAUUUGUUCAUUAAGAAAUUCUGUAGGAAAUAUUAAAAUUAAAGGUACAUAGGAUCAAAUACUGUACAUUGUGAAAAAGAAAAAAUUAUCAGCAAAAAAUGGAAAUGAAGUGAAAAUCAGACGAAACAGGGAAACAUGGAAAAUCAACAGAAAAGGGAGUGCAAUCAGAUGUGUUCAGCUUCAGGGGACUUGUUUUGUAACCACAGAAUAACAGUUACUCCAGCAAGAGCUUUCAAAUCAAAUGCACAUACAUGUUGUAGUGUUGUAUGAAUGUACUUUAAAACAUGCUAGAAUGAUGCCGUGUGUGUGACGGUCAGACCGGUUCGAAUACCGGCGCCAGAUAGCUCAGUUGGUAGAGCACCUGACUAGAGAUUCAGGGGGCCCGGGUUCGAAUCCCGGUCUGGUCCGUCAUUAUUUCUCCCAUCCCGUUACAUUUGGUGCCGUGACCAACCCCUGGAACUGACAGGUGAACUCCUGCCAGGGGAAGAGCCUGGGGUGAUCUUCGGGGACGAAGAUCAUUUAAGGGGGGAGGAAUGUGACGGUCAGACCGGUUCGAAUACCGGCGCCAGAUAGCUCAGUUGGUAGAGCACCUGACUAGAGAUUCAGGGGGCCCGGGUUCGAAUCCCGGUCUGGUCCGUCAUUAUUUCUCCCAUCCCGUUACAUGUGUUUGUGGUUAUGCACGAGUUGGAUGUCGUCUGGUCACUGUGGAUAGUGCAUGGAAGUAACUUUAUGCAUUGAAGACUGUUGUUAGAUCAUGUGAGGAGAAAUUGUUAUACAUUAAUCUGUAAGUGUAACUGUUUUGUGUUGACCAAUUAUAGUCUGUUCCAAGAUAUU